rnacentral:lncRNA from 1 species
UGGACUAGGCCACACCCCUACCCGAACCCGAUCCGAAAUAUAUUUUCGGACUUCAAAUCGGGUUUAGGCCCAAAAAUAUUUUAAGAUUUAAGAUCCGAGCCCGGCCCGAGCCCAAUUGAACUGGCCCAAGUUCGAGCCCGAGCCAGCCCAAGCUCGAGCCCGAGCCCACAACUCAACCCUCUCCCUUUCCCUCUCCCUCUAUUUCUCUCUCCCUCUACUUCUCUCUCCUUCCUUUCUCCCUCUCUCGAAACUUCCAUGCUCUCAGAGUGACUCCUACUCCAGUGCGAGCACUCCUGCUCUGUCUCCCUCUCCCUCUCCCUCUCAUGCUCUCUAGUCUUGUCACGCUUCGAUGAGAUCCCUCCUGCUCCUGUGCCUAUGCACUGCACAUCGAUUUUGGAGGUUUUCGAAUGGCCGUCGCAACUAGUGAUAGGUCGACGGCGUGG